rnacentral:tRNA from 1 species
GUCCUGGUAGCUCAGCUGGAUAGAGCAAUGGCCUUCUAAGCCAUCGGUCGGGGGUUCGAACCCCUCCCAGGACG